GAAGCUGUGGUGUAGUGGUAGAGGGAGUCUCACGCGAAGAAGAGAUCACGGGUUCGAAUCCUGACGGCCGCA